GAUGAACGCUAGCUACAGGCUUAACACAUGCCAGUCGAGGGGAAACGACAUCGAAAGCUUGCUUUUGAUGGGCGUCGACCGGCGCACGGGUGAGUAACGCGUAUCCAACCUGCCCAUCACUUGGGGAUAACCUUGCGAAAGUAAGACUAAUACCCAAUGAUAUCUCUAGAAGACAUCUGAAAGAGAUUAAAGAUUUAUCGGUGAUGGAUGGGGAUGCGUCUGAUUAGCUUGUUGGCGGGGUAACGGCCCACCAAGGCAACGAUCAGUAGGGGUUCUGAGAGGAAGGUCCCCAACAUUGGAACUGAGACACGGUCCAAACUCCUACGGGAGGCAGCAGUGAGGAAGAUUGGUCAAUGGGCGAGAGCCUGAACCAGCCAAGUAGCGUGCAGGAAGACGGCCCUAUGGGUUGUAAACUGCUUUUAUAAGGGAAGAAAGUGAGAGUCGUGACUCUUUUUGUAUGUACCUUAUGAAUAAGGACCGGCUAAUUCCGUG
rnacentral:rRNA from 1 species